rnacentral:lncRNA from 1 species
ACAGCGUAGGCGUAAAAAUGAAGUGGGUGGUUGGCUCAGCGCUGUACAAGCCAUGGAAGAACAAGUGGAAGAAAUAUUGCAAAAUGGGCGUCAAGAAAUCCAACAGAAAUGUCUCGGAACCUGUCCCAAGAAUUGUAGGUCAAGAUACAGGCUGGGGAAGACUGUGACUGAAAAGAUUAAUGCUGUGACUGAAUUAACGGACAAAGGGCAUUUUGAUGUUGUGACUGAUAGGUUGCCUCGUGCUCCGGUGGAUGAGAGGCCGAUGGGGAAGACUGUGGGCUUAGACUUGAUGUUCGAGAAGGUUCGGAGAUGCCUGGAAGAUGAGCAAGUAAGAAGUAUUGGGUUGUAUGGAAUUGGGGGUGCUGGAAAAACGACCCUCUUGAAGAAAAUCAAUAAUGAGUAUUUUGGUAGAAGUAACGAUUUUGAUGUGGUGAUAUGGGUAGUGGUGUCGAAAUCAAUCAGCAUAGAGAAAAUUCAAGAAGUGAUUCUGAAGAAAUUAACGAUCCCAGAGCACAACUGGAAGAGUAGUACCAAGGAGGAGAAGGCUGCAGAAAUUUUCAAGUUGUUGAAAGCCAAAAACUUUGUGAUAUUGCUUGAUGAUAUGUGGGAGCGACUCGAUCUCUUGGAGGUGGGGAUCCCUGAUUUGAGUGAUCAAACGAAGUCCAGAGUAGUACUACUCACUACGAGAUCUGAACGAGUAUGCGAUGAAAUGGAAGUUCAUAAGAGGAUGAGGGUAGAGUGUUUGACACCGGAUGAAGCAUUUUCUCUGUUCUGUGAUAAGGUUGGUGAGAAUAUCCUGAAUUCACAUCCGGAUAUAAAAAGGCUUGCUAAGAUUGUUGUUGAAGAAUGUGAAGGACUGCCUCUUGCCCUCGUCGUCAUUGGGCGAUCAAUGGCUAGCAGGAAAACUCCUCGGGAAUGGGAGCAAGCAUUACAAGUGCUGAAGAGUUACCCAGCAGAGUUUUCAGGUAUGGGAGAUCAUGUAUUUCCAAUUUUGAAAUUCAGUUACGAUCACUUGGACAAUCAUACCAUCAAAUCAUGUUUCCUAUAUUGUUCUAUAUUCCCUGAAGACAGUAUAAUUGAGAAUGAAGAACUCAUAGAUCUUUGGAUCGGGGAGGGGUUUGUAAACAAAUUUGCUGAUGUACACAAAGCUCGCAAUCAAGGAGAUGGGAUUAUUAGAAGCUUAAAACUUGCGUGUCUCUUGGAAGGUGAUGUAUCGGAAAGCACUUGUAAGAUGCAUGAUGUGAUCCGUGACAUGGCUCUUUGGUUAUCAUGUGAAUCUGGGGAAGAAAAGCACAAAAGUUUUGUACUAAAACAUGUUGAGUUGAUUGAAGCAUAUGAAAUUGUGAAAUGGAAAGAAGCUCAACGGAUUUCACUAUGGCAUUCUAAUAUCAAUGAAGGACUCUCUCUAUCACCCCGUUUCCUCAAUCUCCAAACUUUGAUUUUGAGAAAUAGUAACAUGAAGUCACUUCCAAUUGGAUUCUUCCAAUCCAUGCCUGUCAUAAGAGUUUUGGAUUUGUCAGACAAUAGAAAUUUAGUGGAGUUGCCUUUGGAGAUUUGCAGAUUAGAGAGUUUGGAAUAUCUGAAUCUAACAGGGACGAGUAUAAAAAGGAUGCCUAUAGAACUGAAGAAUUUGACAAAACUGAGGUGUUUGAUGUUAGACCAUGUAGUGGCGCUUGAAGUAAUUCCAUCAAAUGUGAUAUCUUGCCUUCCAAAUUUGCAGAUGUUUAGAAUGCUGCACGCCUUGGAUAUUGUAGAAUAUGAUGAAGUUGGAGUGUUGCAGGAGCUGGAGUGCUUGGAAUACCUCAGUUGGAUAAGUAUCACCUUACUUACAGUCCCAGCUGUUCAAAUAUAUCUCACCUCCUUGAUGCUGCAAAAGUGCGUACGAGAUCUAUGCUUGAUGACGUGCCCAGGUUUGAAGGUGGUGGAGCUGCCACUUUCGACUUUGCAAACACUCACUGUGCUUCGAUUUGAAUAUUGUAAUGAUUUGGAACGUGUUAAAAUAAAUAUGGGACUGUCUCGAGGUCAUAUCUCAAACUCAAACUUCCACAACCUUGUUAAGGUGUUUAUUAUGGGAUGUCGAUUCUUGAACCUGACUUGGCUUAUUUAUGCUCCAAGCCUUGAGUUCCUGUCAGUUCGUGCUAGUUGGGAAAUGGAAGAAAUUAUAGGGAGUGAUGAGUAUGGAGACUCAGAAAUUGACCAACAAAAUCUCAGCAUAUUCUCAAGACUUGUGACGUUACAGUUGGAAGAUCUCCCAAAUCUGAAGAGUAUCUACAAGCGAGCUUUGCCAUUUCCUUCCCUCAAAGAGAUCAAUGUGGGUGGUUGUCCAAAUCUAAGGAAAUUGCCAUUGAAUUCCAAUAAUGCCACCAACACUUUAAAAGAAAUUGCGGGGCAUCCAACCUGGUGGGAGCAGUUGGAGUGGGAGGAUGACAACCUCAAGCGCAUUUGCACUCCGUAUUUCAAAAAAAGGUAUUAGAGUUCUAUGUCAUGGAGGUUUGUUGGAAUUGUUGGGUUUCCUUCAUUUCCUUUCCUCCCUGUUUUCUAACAAACCCAUUGGCCUUCCUCUCCCAGGUACAUUUUCUGUUUUCGCUUCCAUUUGUUUUAUGUCAUGAGAGAUGUUUGAAUGCACUUCCACAUAUAAAUAUUGUUCAAGAAAUGAAGUUUUGUCCAAGGCAAAUGAAUGAUUGUUUUUGUAGGAGAAGUUUUUGAAGAACAUUUGGUGCAAUUGUUGAGUAAUCGGAUGGUGGGAAUGCAUAGGAAGGACAUCAAAAUAGUAAUUGUGAAGAAAGAACUUUUUGUAUGUAUGUGUAUUGUGAAGUUUUAAGGUGAUCAAUUUCCUAUGUUUCUAUAAAAUUUGACUAUUCUUAGCUUAAGUUUCUGUCUUGAAAUAUUCUAAAUAUUAUCUUGAAGGUGUAAACGUCUUAUAUUGUGUGAAAACAUGGAUGGGGUGAAUAGAUACUUCUCUAAUUUUAAAAGUUUUGCAUUCUUUGAUUCAAUUAUAAGAUUUUGCCUACCCUAAACAUUAUUCUCUUUUAGAAUUUAAUAUUAUUAAAAAAAUGUAAGGAUUAAAUUAAAAUAUGGAUGAAAGUAGACGAUUGAUUUUUUGUAAGAUUUAUUAAAUAUUAAACAUAAAUAUUUUUAAUUUUAUUUUUUUGGGAAAAUAAAAUUAUUUUUGAUGAUUUUUAGUAAUUUGUUGAUGAGUGGGGAAAUUUUUUCCAUGUUAUAUCAAUAUUAUUAUUGGUUUGGUAAAAAAAAAAUGGUAUAGGUGAAAAUGAAGUGUCACUUUCCUUCUUCAUAAUUUUUAUUUAAAAUAAUUUUAAAUUGUUUUAAAAGUUACUAUUGUAAUAAAAUCGAAGCAUACUUUAUAUUUUGUCAAUGAAAUUUAACAUUUUAAAUUUGUUAGCAUUUAUUUGUAUGUUUAUCUUUUAAAUUUUUUUUCAUUUAAACAAUUUAAAGCAUAGUAAAAUAAAUUCUUACUUGAAUUUCAAUCUUUAAUUUCUGAAAUUCAAAAAUAUUUAUAAUAUUUAUGAAUUUUUUUUAUUGUUAUUUAACACUAAGAAAUAAUGGUUACUUUUUUUUUUUUUUGUUACUUGAUUUACAUCAUUUAAAAAUCAAAUUUUUUAUUUAAAAAAAAAAUCAUAUAUCACUCAAUAGUCCCAAAAAAAAAUCAUAUAUCACUCAAUCAUUUAAAUUCUAUAUAAUUUAGUCUAGGUUCACUUACAAUUUGAUAUUGUUUUUAAAAAAACAAGUUUAAAGAUUAAAUUAAAAUAUGGGAAAGUGGUCAAGUGAUUUUUAUAAUUUAAUCUAAUUUAUUUAUAUUGUUUUUAAAAAAACAAGUUUAAAGAUUAAAUUAAAAUAUGGGAAGAAAUAUUGCAAAAUGGGAGUCAAGAAAUCCAACAGAAAUGUCUCGGAACCUGUCCUGAGAAUUGCAGGUCAAGCUACAGGCUGGGGAAGAUUGUGAGUAGAAAGAUCGAUGCUGUGACUGAAUUAAAGGGCAAAGGGCAUUUUGAUUUUGUGGCUCAUAGAUUGCCUUGUGCUCCUGUGGAUGAGAGACCGAUGGGGAAGACUGUGGGCUUAGACUUGAUGUUCGAGAAGGUUCGGAGAUGCCUGGAAGAUGAGCAAGUAAGAAGUAUUGGGUUGUAUGGAAUUGGGGGUGUUAGAAAAACGAC